CUUGACUCUAGUCUGGCACGGUG
rnacentral:piRNA from 3 species